UACGGGGGGGGCAAGCGUUGUUCGGAAUUACUGGGCGUAAAGGGCUCGUAGGCGGCCAACUAAGUCGGAUGUGAAAUCCCCAGGCUCAACUUGGGAACUGCAUCCGAUACUGGAUGGCUUGAAUUCGGGAGAGGGAUGCAGAAUUCCAGGUGUAGCGGUGAAAUGCGUAGAUAUCUGGAGGAAUACCGGUGGCGAAGGCGGCAUCCUGGACCGGCAUUGACGCUGAGGAGCGAAAGCCAGGGGAGCAAACGGG
rnacentral:rRNA from 1 species